rnacentral:misc_RNA from 1 species
GAUGAAUUUCAUCAGAAUGAUAAGUUCAAGGAAAUAUUGGGUCAGAAAAUCAGCUCUAGUUCAUUACAACGUGACAGUACUACAGAAGUCCCCAGUUUUGAUAGCAUUGAUCCUGCAGCAGUCUAGCGAGUCACCUUGGGAAGCAAUGGUAGGUUAUGCAGAAUACCUGAUGGUGAAACCCUCUGAUCCAAAACAAGCAAGUCUCUUUAAUCCUGAGGUAUUUAGGACUGUUUUUAUGGCCAUUCAGAAGGCUGGUGACCAAGGUUUGAGUUUAGAAGAAGUUUCCCAAGUCGUGGGUGAAAAUGUGCAUGAACAAAUCAUUGAUGUGCUCCAAGC